UAUAACAAAUUAGUAUGGGGCGGACGUAGCCAAGUGGAUUAAGGC
rnacentral:tRNA from 2 species